CUUGUACACACCGCCCGUCACACCAUGGGAGCGGGAUGUACCAGAAGUAGGUAGGCUAACCGCAAGGGGGCCGCUUACCACGGUGCGUUUCGUGACUGGGGUG
rnacentral:rRNA from 1 species